rnacentral:lncRNA from 1 species
UCACACAAAAGUGGCUAAAGGAAAAUAGAAAGAGUUGAGAGAGAAGUGAAGAUAGAAGAAGAAGGAAGAAGACCCAUGUGAAGAAAAGAGAAUAGCAAAGCUAGGAUUUAUAAAGGGGGUGAAGAUUUUGGCGAGAUAGCUUAGCUUAAGGAGAUUUAAGGUAAGAGGGGUAUAUUUGUUCUUCCUAAUAAUCUAUAAUCAUGUUUUUAGCUUAUGAGUCAUAUUUGUUUUGUUUGAUUUGUGAAGAUUAAUGAUUAUAUGUGCAACUUUCGUGAUUUGAAUUAAGUGGUGAGUUUGAGUAUGUGAAAGUUGUUGAAAACUUGUUGUUGAUGCAUAAAUUUCAUUAUUGAUAUAUGUUAAGUUGUUUACUUUGAGAGUUUAGCUUAAAUUAGUGAAUAUGAUGAUGUUGUUGUUGAUUAAUGAUGAAUUCAUGAUUUAUGUGAUAUAAAUGUUGUUGGGUAUAUGUUGUGUUGAGAACCAUGAGCUUCAAUGUGAUAAAUACGAUGUUGGUUGAAUUGUUGUGUUUUGGUGAUUUUUGUGAAAAUGGGUCAACAACGAGAAUUGUGAUUUUGAUGAUUAUGAAUGGAGUUAUGGAGUUGUUAUGGUGAAAAUGGGUCAACAAGGAGAAUUGUGAUUUUUGUUAUGAAGUUUGGGUGAAAUCAGGUUUUUGAGUUAAAAGUAGUUUUAAGCACUUUUAAGAAAUAAAUCAUUUUGGGUGAUUUGAAAUAAGUUGUUUUGGAUUAGAAAACUAUAUUUUCGGUGAGUAUUAACUGUUUAAGUGUUUGUAAUGAAUUUAGUGAAAGCGGGAUUGAAAACGGAUCGAAAAUCAGACUCUUCCCAUGUGUGAAAAACAUGAAAAGUGUUGUUUUGUUGUAACAGGAAAAACGCACAGUCUGCAUCAAGGAGUGAUCGAACCGUCCACAACUCCUUGGACCAUGCGUUUUUCAUGGGCAAAAGUGCAUGGACCGUGCGCAUGUUGGGUGGUCCAAAACGCAAAUUUUUAUACUUCCAAGGUUCCAAAUGCAUCCCUAAGAGUUCCAAAGACCUAAACCUACUAUAUUAGAGUGUAAUUGAGCUUAUAUGAUUGGUUUAACAUAGCUUAUUUUGCGAAAAGAAAUUGAUUUCGAAACAUGAAGAUAAUGAGACGAACUUUGGGAAUUUUGAGAAAUGUAUGAACCUUGUGAAACAAAGAUGAUAUGAUUGAAUCACUAAGGUGUUAGAUGAUAUGUAGGGAUGUUUUGCUGAUAUGUAGGAACUUAAUAUCCUAUUUUGUUGAGAUAUUUUAAAAUAGACGAUUUUUGUGAAAAUAGACGAACUUUGUCGAAAUGAGGAUUUAUGAUUUGAUAACUUGUAAAUAAAUUUUAUUCAUAAUAAUAUGAUGAAAUAAUAAUGAAUCAAUGAUUGAUGAGUGUAAAAUAUGCUGGUUAACAUGAUGUGAGCGAUCGUCCGUCAAUUAUGCGAAUUGUGCUUUAUGAGCGACAUUGUCUUCUUUGUUGUGAUAAAUAAUUGGUGAUGAUGCCUAUGCUUGAUUGAUAAUUUGGUGAUGAGUAUAUAUGUGUAUAACUUGAUGAUGAAUACAUGUGUAUCCUUGAUGGUGUUAAUUAUGGAGUCGGUGAUGGUGUUAAAUUUGUGAUGUCUUGUAUGAACGUAUGCAUUUGGUGAGUCAUAUGUUCAUGCAUUCACAAAUUUUGGUGUUAGGAUAUUUCAAUAUCCAAGUGGAGAUAGAAUCCCUCGGAGAUAUUAUUUCUGACAUCCAAGUGGAGAUGGAUUAAUCGGUAAAAUGACUCCGACAUCCAAGAGUUUGGUACCACAUGCAUGUAGAGGUGUCUAGAACAUAACAUGCAUACGAACUAUAUGAUUUUGGUGAAUUGUAUGGACUUAUGUAAAGUCGUUUACUUGGAAUGUAAUUGAUUGGUGUUGUUUGUAUACUUGGAUUAAUGUUGUUAAUCUAUGAUUGGUGUGAUGAAUUAUCCAUGAGGAAUUGAUGUGAUAUGCAUUGUUGUGCUAUGAAUGAGUUAAGAUAAUAUUCACAUGAUGUUAGUAUUCUAGGAGUGAUGAAUAUGUAUAUGUGCUAUACUUGAAAUCCUUGAAUGUUAUUUUAUGAUUAUAUUUUAUUAUGUGAAAUGUUAUCUAACCCUCAGUGGUUGUUUGGUUGACCGCCUACCCAUUUGUAUGAAUGGUGUAGACGACGUGCAUGAUUGAGAACUUAUUGUUUGUGAGUACUCGAGGACUAGCUUGGAGCUACCUCCUUAUCUUUUGCUUGGAGUCUAGUUAAGCUCUGAUUAUGAGUGUUGGGACUUUUGUAUUUUUUGCUUUUUGUCCGUUGUUGGACUUAUUUGCUGAGACAGUUGUUAUGUUUAUGAGACCUGAGACAUGGUGUUGAGAUUCUAUUAUUCAUGUACUUGAGGAUUAUUAUAUGUUGUUGAGUUAUUUAUGUAUGGUGAUUUUCCACUG